GCACACCUUGGAACCAUCUGGCACACCUCUGCAAAAAUGGCACAGAUGAACAGCAAGUGGAGUCGACCCCAUGUAUCUUUGAGUCGACCCCAGGAGAGGAGCCGACCCCAAAGAACCUUGAGCCGACCCCAGUUUCAAGCCUCAAGAAACAACUCUCUGGAAUUUACUGAGAGGGCCGACCCCAAGUUUCCUUGAGCUGACCCCAGAUGGAGCCGACCCCAGGAACACUUGAGUCGACCCCAAAGGAGCCGACCUCAACUGCACAUGAGUCGACCCCAAGGAUAUGUGCUCAAAAACCACGUCUCUGGAAUCCCUGAGAGGGUCGACCCCAAUGGAGCUUGAGUCGACCCCAGUGAAAACAGUCGAAAAUGCAAGGUUCUAUGGUUCCUGAGAAGGCCGACUCCACUGUAGCAGGGGUCGACCCCAGUGAAGUUUGAGUCGACCCCAGUGUGAGUUGGGUCGACCCCAAGUCCAAUAAACAGUAAAUUGAGUCAACCCCAGCACGGACAAGGGCAUAACGGCUAGUUCUGCAGAAGUGCUUUUUGACCUCCCAACGGCUAGUAACGGCUAGUUUUUCAAAUCUAACCAAUGGAGAGUGACCAAUAGAGGUGGGGAAGUAUUUAAAGUGACACUGUUCAUCAGAGGAAGGAUCUUUUGCCAAGAAAUCAAUAGCAUAUUAAAGAGAAAGCAAGUCCAAGUGCUCUUCAUUAAGGUUCUUCAUUCAAGUCUCAAAAAAGGNGGUGGUUGAGCAAUCUGAGUGUGCAUUCAACAGCUCCACCAACCCAUUGUGAAGUGAAGUGUUCGUCCGAUUCCUGUCUAACUAAAAAU
rnacentral:lncRNA from 1 species